rnacentral:rRNA from 1 species
GACGAACGCUGGCGGCGUGCUUAACACAUGCAAGUCGAACGGAAAGGCCCUGCUUUUGUGGGGUGCUCGAGUGGCGAACGGGUGAGUAACACGUGAGUAACCUGCCCUUGACUUUGGGAUAACUUCAGGAAACUGGGGCUAAUACCGGAUAGGAGCUCCUGCUGCAUGGUGGGGGUGGGAAAGUUUCGGCGGGUGGGGAUGGACGGGCGGCUUAUCAGCUUGCUGGUGGGGUAGUGGCUUACCAAGGCUGUGACGGGUAGCCGGCCUGAGAGGGUGACCGGGCACAAGGGGACUGAGAGACGGCCCAGAGUCUUACGGGAGGCAGCAGUGGGGAAUAUUGCACAAUGGGCGGAAGCCUGAUGCAGCAACGUCGCGUGCGGGAUGACGGCUUUCGGGGUGUAAACCGCUUUCGCUUGUGACGAAGCGGGAGUGACGGUAAUGGGUAAAGAAGCACCGGCUAACUACGUG